GUGAGUCAUCGAAUCUUUGAACGCACCUUGCGCUUCUUGGUAUUCCGAGGAGCAUGCCUGUUUGAGUGUCAUUAAAUUCUCAAUCCUCUUCCAGUUCUUUGUAAGCUGGUUGUGGUUUGGAUAUUGGGGGCUUCUGCAGGCCUUGUUAUGUUGAGGUCAGCUCCCCUGAAAUACAUUAGCAGAACUGUUUGCGGUCUGUCACUGGUGUGAUAAUUAUCUGCACCAAGGGCUGCUUUCUGUCUUGUUCAGCUUCUAACCGUCUUCUUGGGACAACUAUUGAACAUUUGACCUCAAAUCAGG
rnacentral:misc_RNA from 1 species